rnacentral:lncRNA from 1 species
ACAGGCUGUGUUAGAGCUAGGGUAAACAUUUUUAAAGUUACUUAGGACUAAAUCUUAUAAAAUAAUUCUUAAUACCAUUUUCUUAGGUUGUGGUUGCUAGUUCCCUGGAAGGGAAUCCAAUUCUGUGUUAAAUGCAAGGAUCGUCUCUGCACUUCAGAAUCCUGCUAAUCAAGGACUCCUGCUAUCUUGAGGCAGGAUAAAAGAAAAUGCCUCAAAGAAGACACGUUCUGCAAAUAAGUAAGGGAUGUGUCACACGUGCCUGUUCCUCAGAAGACGUGCUAAGGGGAAGACACACAAUGUGGUUUCUUCAGGAGUACCUUAAUGCACCCAAAAUCCCCAGACACACUCUUGGGUAUUGGAAGGAAAAGAUAGCACAGAGUGUCUAUGACCUGUAAGAUUCAUAGUCAGACAGUCACAUAAAGAUAUGCCGGAGUUAGCAGAUUUCUUCUGAAUUUGCACCUGACAAAUGCUAACGACCAGAGGAAGGAUUCCUCCCACAGGCCAAAGCUGCUGCCAACACACUGUACUGCCAUUUGCACUGUCUAGGGCAUAUGGGAAUAGGCUCUGGGAAAAUGCUAAUAACAAAAGUAGAGACCUGUGAAUAAGAAAGUCCUGCCAAACACUGGGACCCAAGACUCCUCGAGGAACUACAAUCCACCUGUGGCAUCAGCAUGGUCUUUGGGAUCCUGCCUACAGAAGCAGAAUGGCUGCCCUAUUUUGAAGGACACCACACACUAUAUGGUACAGACCUACUGAGAAGGAAAGAGGAGCAGUGUAAAGCGUUUCUCCCCUACAAACGGAAAUGAUUUCUAACAAACUCGAGGAUCACUAAUGAAAAAAAAGGUUUAUUUUUAUAUGGUGUGUCAGAAUGUGUGUUUACUGUGUCUCUGGCUGUAUAAACUCUGUUAAAGUUUUGAGAAGCUGUACCUGCCUAAUUCUUUCUGGUGUACUGCUGAGUCAGAAAAAUACAGAGAAUCAAUGAGACAAAUAAAUCUUUUGUAUUGUAUCUAAUAGGUUUACUU